GGAAACCAAGGGAACCUCUUCUAAUAACCUGUGGUUCUCCAAAACCUUCUCUACUUUAGGAACCUGUUCACCUAGAAUUUAAGAGUCAUGGGUCUGUGGGUAUAUACAGACAGUGUGAGGUCAUUCUCAAGUUACCGGCUGUGCUAGCCACAGGACACAGGCUGAGACCCAUGUGUGUCACAGCUCUUUAAGAUGACCGUAGAAAGGGUCAUGUCCCUUUGGACCUCAAGAGUCCAGACUAUCAUCUUCUCGCAAGCCUCUUCACCUCUGCAGGACCAGGUUUGCUUGUCAAGACACCAGGCCAAUCCUACCUUCAUGGAACAGUGAUGAAGCCUGCCUUGUAAACUCCAAGAAUCUCUCACCAAAGCUGAAGCACAUUACAUCAUCUAUAAUGAUUUUCCAAUAAACUUCAGGGAUCCUCCCAUUUGUACACCCCUCCCCCCACAACAAAGAAAUCUUCUCACAUCUGUGAUGGGGAUCCAAACUCAGGACCUCAUGCUUGCACAGUGGAUACUUUAUCACCUGGGCCAUCCCCCCCAGUCCCUGCACUCUCACAUAUCAAAACAUGCAGCAUCUUGAGGUCGUUCAGAGCGUGAUGCCUCUUACCUGACGGCCUGAAGUCAAACGAAGAUGCAUCUUGCCAGUGAAAAGGAUGCACCGAUGGGAGGCAGCAGAGGAGGCAGAAAAGCGCAUGCAGUUUGAGUGGUACCAUCUUAGGAGCUGAGCAGUGGCUUCAGUUUGAUGUUCUUUGGAGCAGAUAAUUAAAAGAAAAGAAAU
rnacentral:lncRNA from 1 species